UACAGAGGUCUCAAGCGUUGUUCGGAUUCAUUGGGCGUAAAGGGUGCGUAGGUGGCGCCGUAAGUCGGGUGUGAAAUUUCGGAGCUUAACUCCGAAACUGCAUUCGAUACUGCGGUGCUUGAGGACUGGAGAGGAGACUGGAAUUCAUGGUGUAGCAGUGAAAUGCGUAGAGAUCAUGAGGAAAACCAGUGGCGAAGGCGGGUCUCUGGACAGUUCCUGACACUGAGGCACGAAGGCCAGGGGAGCAAACGGG
rnacentral:rRNA from 1 species